CCUACGGGAGGCAGCAGUGGGGAAUAUUGCACAAUGGGGGAAACCCUGAUGCAGCAACGCCGCGUGAGUGGUGACGGUCUUCGGAUUGUAAAGCUCUGUCUUUGGGGACGAUAAUGACGGUACCCAAGGAGGAAGCCACGGCUAACUACGUGCCAGCAGCCGCGGUAAU
rnacentral:rRNA from 1 species